GUCACUGCCAUCAUCCCUCAGACUUCCCACUGCUACUGCUGACUUCUGCCUGUUGGUGUCUGUAUCUUUCUGAGGGCCUCUUCCCAGAACAAGAUAGGCUGUUGCCUGUCAGACUGAAAUGCCAGGACAUUGACUGUCCCAAACCCCUGAGUCCUAGGAGUUGGCGGAGACAAGAGGGACCUCUGCUAACAAGUGAACUGCCAGAAACAGAAUCUACUAGCCAACCUGAAGUUGGCAGCAGACACAUGAGAGAAUCCAGCUGAGAUCAGAACACACAAACAGUCGUGCCCACCCUGAAAGGCUGAGCUACCAAAUCAGAGGUGAUUGUUUCUAAAGAGGUUAUGAUGGUGGUUGUUUUUAAGGCACGAAAUUCUGGGGAGCUCUGUUGCACAGCAAUACUCAUAUGCUGGUGUUGGGGUGCACGUUGCUGGGCAGCUUCCCAGUCAUAUUUCCUUAUUCUUUACCUUUGUUUCCUACAUGUUCCACAUAAAGUGUCUGCGCUCAAAUCUUUGGUUCAGGGCCUGCUUCUUGAGGAACUCAAACUCAGACCUUGUGAAGUGCUUCCUCUCUUGAACUCCUUCAUGCUGCCAUCAUUAUGAUGCUUGGAGGGAAUCACAAUGACUUGCCUGCAUGUGUGCCUCCCACCUGAACUGAGAGGCUCAUGAUGCAGUAUUGUGGCCUAGUUUACUCACUAGGCCAGGAACAUCUACAGCAAGUAUCCCACCAGUAUUUGUCUAACAGUAGUAUACCAGCAUCAUGUCACCUCUUGUCAGGCCUCAUCCCACACUCAGCCAAGUACCUACUACAGGAGGCCACCUACAUGUCCUUCACCCUUGAUGUCCUUCUGAAGACACAAGCUCCUCCACCUGGUGGGUACUCAGCUCCCUCUUGUCACAGCAGCUUACACUACCACGUAUCUGGUCAUCAGAGACAUCUUCCCAUUACCACUUCAACUUCAUUCAGUGAGGUCACACUCCAUAUGAGAAGAAGAUGGAAUUGCAACAAAGAGUAAAACAGCCCUCAAAACUGUAAGACAUCAGGAGGAGAGACAGACUGCCCCGCUCUUUACCUGCUGUAGUAGAUCUUAUUAUUGGUCCAAAUUUGUUACUCCUCCCUAUAUUCAUACCUUUUGCUGGGAGACUUUGUAGUUCUCUCUCACUAAAGGGGCAGAAAAUACUCUCCUGUGCCUUGAUUUGGGUUUGGCCACAUAUGUGACUUGCCAUGGCCAAUACAAUAAGGCUGAAGUCAGUACCCCAGUUCUGAGUCUAGGCUGAGGAGCCAUUUCAGGUUUAUGUUUGUCCUCAUGUACCUUCACCAUGCUGUGAGAACAUGCUCAUGCUAACCCACUGGUUUCAGAGGGACAAUUAAAGACAUAUGCAGCAAAGCUAAACUGGGCCACCCAAGCCUAGCGUCUUCCCUCCACUGAACCCAGAUGCAUGAAUAAGUCAGCCAAGAUCCAGUGGAAUCCAGCCAACCCUCAGCUGACCUGUAGAUCCAUAACAAUAGAUGAUGGCUAAUUAUGCCACUGCAUUUUGGGGUAAUUCAUUAUGCAGCAUUUGAAGGGAGGGCAAUAGCUAGGUGAUACAUGUGAGAGUCCUGGUCUUGGCCACCACACUAAUUAUUCUGGCAUUAUCAAUUACUGAGUUCACAGAGAAGAUCUGGUUCUGACUAUGCUCUUGAAAGGUGAAGCUAGAACAGUCGAGGUGGCUUUAGCCAUAAGUUGCUUUACUGACCACAAGCCUUGAGUUUUACAACUUAAUACACAAAAAGUGCAGUUCAAUAGAGACAGAUUUGACCAUCAACUAAUGGGCGGCAAGAGUAUCAAGACUUUCCCAACUUAAUAUUUAAUCUUGGCUCAAGUAAGUGUUUUUCUACCACAUGAAGCUUUCUAUGAUCCAAAAUAAAUUUCCAGGAAAAUAAAUUUACAAUUUGCCUCAAGAUAAAUCAAAUCCAUAUAUUUUCAUUUCUUGCUGCUUUUUUUUCCUAAAGAACAUUUUGGAAGAUCUACUUAAAAUUAAAAUUAACAAGCUAGUAAUUUAUGGAAUGUCAUUAGAAUUGGUUUCUCUAAUUAUCCCAGGAGAACCUUCUUCCUAAUGUUAAAUAAUUCUAUUAUCUACUUCAUGGCCUUAAAGUAAUAUUCUAAGAAUGGCAAAACAUGUGCUACUUAAAUCUACCACUCUUUCCUGAGUAAAAGUAAAGCUAUUUAAUAUUUAAGUGGUUUACAGGAGUAUAUGUAGGGGGGUGAGGUGUACAUCAACUUCCUCUAAUAAAUUUAAAUAGAAGAAAAAGAAUCAUGGGGUUGGGGAUUUAGCUCAGUGGCACCGUUGCCUGCCUUGCAAUUGCAAGGCCCUGAGUUCGAUCCCUGGUACCGGAAAAAAGAAAAGAAAAGAAAAAGAAUCAUAGUA
rnacentral:lncRNA from 1 species